GCGGAAGGAUCAUUGUCGUU
rnacentral:rRNA from 1 species